AAGUCUCUGAAAUCCAGUGUGUAUUUUGCACUUGCAGCACCUCUAUAUUCAGAUGGCAAAUUUUCAUUAGAAAUAUUUGAAAUAUUUGGUCUGGUUUAGAUUUAAUAAAACUUACAGUUGAAAAAUAAGUUCAAGUAUGUAAUUUGUUUCAAAUAUAUUUAGAAGUUUUCCAAUAACUGGAUUGAUUAUACAUUUUUAAACUUAAUUAAAAUUAAGUGAAAUUUAAAGUUCAGUUCCUCAGUCACAUUAGCUACAUUUCAAGUACUCAGUAGCCACAUUGGCCAGUGGCUGUUGUAUUGAACAGUCUAGAGAUAGAAUUUCAACCCUUCUUCCCCCUGCUUUGUCCUACUUUUAUUAGAGGGUCUGGCUUCAGGAAAUAAUCUAAUGUGUGUUCUUCACUGCCUGACUUUGUCACCACACACUGGGAGAGCGCGGAGAGACGAGGUGACCCAGGGAGCAACAGAUGUGCUGUUUCCCAUUUCUUUCUGGGGUGGAGGUGGGGACAAUGUGAGGAUGGCCCCUUGGGGACCCUGAAGAUUGUGUAAUAAGAGUCCACAAUGUGGGUAAGCCAGAAUAACCAUAAAAUGUUAUUCUUGCUUUGGGGACUUAAAACCACUUAUGUCCUGUUGUGAAAAUCAUGGGAAAAACCAUAUUUACAUAGAGACAUUUUUGUUAAAACAAAUACAGGCCCUUGAAAAGAAUACAAGUCCUCAUUAGAUUCUCUAAAAUCAGAAAUAAAAAGAUGUCCAAUAUCUCUGA